rnacentral:rRNA from 1 species
CCUACGGGAGGCAGCAGUGAGGAAUAUUGGUCAAUGGGCGUAAGCCUGAACCAGCCAAGUCGCGUGAGGGAUGAAGGUCCUAUGGAUUGUAAACCUCUUUUAUAAGGGAAUAAAGUGCGGGACGUGUCCCGUUUUGUAGGUACCCUAUGAAUAAGGCUCGGCUAACUCCGUUCCAGCAGCCGCGGUAAUACGGAGGGUCCGUGCGUUAUCCGGAUUUAUUGGGUUUAAAGGGUGCGUAGGCGGCAUUUUAAGGUAGCGGUGAAAGUCUGUGGCUCAACCAUAGAACUGCCGUUGAAACUGGGGGGCUUGAGUGUGCGUGAGGCAGGCGGAAUGCGUGGUGUAGCGGUGAAAUGCUUAGAUAUCACGCAGAACCCCGAUUGCGAAGGCAGCCUGCCAGGGCAUGACUGACGCUGAUGCACGAAAGCGUGGGGAUCAAACAGGAUUAGAUACCCGUGUAGUC